rnacentral:lncRNA from 7 species
CUAGAAGAUUCAGGUUAGAACACUGUUUCAACAGGGGUGUGCAUCACAGACACUCCAGGAGCUGCUCUCCUCUUUGGCUACAGAGAGAGCUGGCAGGGCCUGCUAGAAUCCAGCACUGCAAUGCCUUCAUCUGAUUGCUGGUUCUGUUGAGGUUUCCCUGUACAAAGUCAGCUUCUGGAGAGUUGAGAUUUCAAAGCUGGCCUUCUUUGCUGGCUGACAAAACAACUGGCCUGGGUGCAGCUGGAAGGCUCGUGUGCUUGCAAAGAUAUUUGGACAGAAGGGAAAGCACAUCUGCCUGCUCCAAGGAGAAACCACUGCAUUGCAUUGUGCAGGAGAGGGCUCCCUGCUGGCUCAGUGGGGCAGGAAGGGAAAACCCCCAGAGCGUAUCUGCAAGGUCUGUCCUGUAGCUUCGGCCUCUAUAUUUAGGUAUCCUUACUUGGUGUGAGUUAGAACACAUUGUAUUUGUAAGGGUUGCAUGAAAAUGAAGCCCAGCAUAACCUUCAAACUUCAAUCCUUAAGGUAACAAAGACCAAAUAACAAUGUUACUUAGAGACAAAUAGCCACCAUGCAAAUCCUGUAUGACAAUGCUUGCACUCUCUCUCACUGAAAAGGUAGUCAAAAAGAAACUAAUUAUCUCAGAUAUGAAGGACUUUAAAUGCCACGUUUUGACUGAAGUGCAGCUUCUGGAGCCGAAGAGUAGUGAAAGUACUGAAAGUCCCAAUGCAGGAGAGAUGUUCAAAGCCAGCUCAGUUAUCUGAAAAACAACCUGUGAAGAAGCAAUCAGUUCUACUCAACACUUUCAGUUUGCUUUAGGGAUGCAGACCGGAGGAUGAGGCUUUGUUUUCCUUCUUUUUGGCUUGCAGACCAGAAGAACUCUUAAUUGGUACCGUGGGCAGAAGAAUCCUUUGAGUACUCCUGCUGUUGCCCACUCCUAAAC